rnacentral:rRNA from 1 species
UGGGGAAUUUUGGACAAUGGGGGAAACCCUGAUCCAGCCAUCCCGCGUGUGCGAUGAAGGCCUUCGGGUUGUAAAGCACUUUUGGCAGGAAAGAAACGUCGCGGGUUAAUACCCCGCGGAACUGACGGUACCUGCAGAAUAAGCACCGGCUAACUACGUGCCAGCAGCCGCGGUAAUACGUAGGGUGCAAGCGUUAAUCGGAAUUACUGGGCGUAAAGCGUGCGCAGGCGGUUCGGAAAGAAAGAUGUGAAGUCCCAGAGCUUAACUUUGGAACUGCAUUUUUAACUACCGGGCUAGAGUGUGUCAGAGGGAGGUGGAAUUCCGCGUGUAGCAGUGAAAUGCGUAGAUAUGCGGAGGAACACCGAUGGCGAAGGCAGCCUCCUGGGAUAACACUGACGCUCAUGCACGAAAGCGUGGGGAGCAAACAGGAUUAGAUACCCUGGUAGUCCACGCCCUAAACGAUGUCAACUAGCUGUUGGGGUCUUCGGACCUUGGUAGCGCAGCUAACGCGUGAAGUUGACCGCCUGGGGAGUACGGUCGCAAGAUUAAAACUUAAAUGAAUUGACGGGGUCAUAGCUGUUUCC